rnacentral:pre_miRNA from 1 species
AAACUGUUUAUAUGUACCUGCCAUCUUCAAGAGAUAAUGAUAGAUUUCUUGAGGCUUUUGAUAACAUGGACAUAUGAUCUGCAUCUUUGCAUUUUCAAGUGCAAAGAUGCAGAUCAUAUGUCCAUGUUAAUAUCAAAGCCU